GUGCUGGCUUUGGCAGCACAUAAUACCAAAAUUGGAACAAUACAGAGAAGAUUAGCAUGGCUCCUACGUGAGGAUGACACAUAAGUUUGUGACGUUUCCCAUAUUUUU